rnacentral:rRNA from 1 species
GAGUUUGAUCGUGGCUCAGAUUGAACGCUGGCGGCAUGCCUUACACAUGCAAGUCGAACGGCAGCACGGGAGCUUGCUCCUGGUGGCGAGUGGCGAACGGGUGAGUAAUGCAUCGGAACGUAUCCUGGAGUGGGGGAUAACGUAGCGAAAGUUACGCUAAUACCGCAUAUUCUGUGAGCAGGAAAGCGGGGGACCUUCGGGCCUCGCGCUCUUGGAGCGGCCGAUGUCGGAUUAGCUAGUUGGUGAGGUAAAGGCUCACCAAGGUGACGAUCCGUAGCAGGUCUGAGAGGAUGAUCUGCCACACUGGAACUGAGACACGGUCCAGACUCCUACGGGAGGCAGCAGUGGGGAAUUUUGGACAAUGGGGGCAACCCUGAUCCAGCCAUGCCGCGUGAGUGAAGAAGGCCU